AUUUUGUGGUGAGGACACUGAAUUAAUAGGUCUUGAAACCUCUCCCAUAUUUCAAAGAAAACCUCAUUAUCUUUCUACCAAAAAUUCCUAAAGGU